UACAGAGGUGGCAAGGCUGUUGUCGAAUUACUGGGCGUAAAGGGCGCGUAGGCGGCCUACUAAGUCAGACGUGAAAUCCCCCGGCUUAACCUGGGAACUGCGUCUGAUACUGGAAGGCUUGAGGAUGGGAGAGGGAUGUAGAAUUCCAGGUGUAGCGGUGAAAUGCGUAGAUAUCUGGAGGAAUACCGGUGGCGAAGGCGGCAUCCUGGACCAUUACUGACGCUGAGGCGCGAAAGCUAGGGGAGCAAACGGG
rnacentral:rRNA from 1 species